rnacentral:tRNA from 1 species
AGGACGUUAGCUCAGUUGGUUAGAGCAUCCGACUUUUAAUCGGAAUGUCGAUGGGUUCAACUCCCUCACGUCCUACCA